rnacentral:rRNA from 1 species
AUUGAACGCUGGCGGCAUGCUUUACACAUGCAAGUCGAACGGUAACAGGCCUUCGGGUGCUGACGAGUGGCGAACGGGUGAGUAAUGCAUCGGAACGUACCCAGAGGUGGGGGAUAACGCAGCGAAAGCUGUGCUAAUACCGCAUGUGAUCUGAGGAUGAAAGCGGGGGACCGAGCAGCAAUGUUUGGCCUCGCGCCUUUGGAGCGGCCGAUGUCGGAUUAGCUAGUUGGUGGGGUAAAGGCCUACCAAGGCGACGAUCCGUAGCUGGUCUGAGAGGACGACCAGCCACACUGGGACUGAGACACGGCUCAGACUCCUACGGGAGGCAGCAGUGGGGAAUUUUGGACAAUGGGCGCAAGCCUGAUCCAGCAAUGCCGCGUGCGGGAAGAAGGCCUUCGGGUUGUAAACCGCUUUUGGCAGGAACGAAACGGUGUCCGCUAAUACCGGGCGCUAAUGACGGUACCUGCAGAAUAAGCACCGGCUAACUACGUG